GAUGAACGCUGGCGGCGUGCCUAAUACAUGCAAGUCGAGCGAACAGACGAGGAGCUUGCUCCUCUGACGUUAGCGGCGGACGGGUGAGUAACACGUGGAUAACCUACCUAUAAGACUGGGAUAACUUCGGGAAACCGGAGCUAAUACCGGAUAAUAUAUUGAACCGCAUGGUUCAAUAGUGAAAGACGGUUUUGCUGUCACUUAUAGAUGGAUCCGCGCCGCAUUAGCUAGUUGGUAAGGUAACGGCUUACCAAGGCAACGAUGCGUAGCCGACCUGAGAGGGUGAUCGGCAACAAUGGAACUGAGACACGGUACAGACUCCUACGGGAGGCAGCAGUGGGGAAUCUUGCGCAAUGGGCGAAAGCCUGACGGAGCAACGCCGCGUGAGUGAAGAAGGUCUUCGGAUCGUAAAACUCUGUUAUUAGGGAAGAAAAAAUGUGUAAGUAACUAUGCACGUCUUGACGGUACCUAAUCAGAAAGCCACGGCUAACUACGUG
rnacentral:rRNA from 1 species